rfam:Triticum aestivum genome assembly, contig: Triticum_aestivum_CS42_TGACv1_scaffold_592636_7BS
UGUGUACUCCCUCCGUUCCAAAAUACUUGACUUCCAUUUGUCCAAAAAUGGAUGUACCUAUAUACUAAAACAUGUCUAGAUACAUAUAUAUAUUUUGACAAAUAGAAGGCAUGUAUUGUGCAACGGAGGAAGUAGAAU